rnacentral:misc_RNA from 2 species
CAACCCUUAAGCCUUGUAGCUUAGUGUUGGGACUCUACUCUUUAGUGAGCAGUUCCCUAAAACCAGUGGCGGUGUUAGGUACACUCAUAGCGUAGUAAUUUUUUCUCGCUCUUGCAGUGGACGUAGCUACCUGCCGUAAAACCCCCUAUUUUCUAAU